UACGAAGGGAGCUAGCGUUGUUCGGAAUCACUGGGCGUAAAGCGCACGUAGGCGGAUGUGUCAGUCAGGGGUGAAAUCCCGGAGCUCAACUUCGGAACUGCCUUUGAUACAGCACGUCUUGAGUCCGAUAGAGGUGGGUGGAAUUCCUAGUGUAGAGGUGAAAUUCGUAGAUAUUAGGAAGAACACCGGUGGCGAAGGCGGCCCACUGGAUCGGUACUGACGCUGAGACGCGAAAGCGUGGGGAGCGAACAGG
rnacentral:rRNA from 1 species